rnacentral:rRNA from 1 species
UCAUUCGACGAAUGCAGGUUGCUUGCGGAUACGCUCAAAGAAAAUUUUGAGCUUGAUGUGAGGGUGGCGAAGUGUCGCAUGCGCAAUGUUUUGCGCUAUAGACUCUACGUUGUCUCAAAAAGCAUGGGUAAGUUCAUGGAGUUGAUAACUCCGUACAUUAAUUCCUGCUUCGCAUAUAAAAUUCGCAAGUCAUCAGAUAGCCAGCAGCAGCGGUAAUACAGAGACCUCAAGCGUUAUCCGGAAUUAUUGGGCGUAAAGGGUGCGUAGGUUUCCCAACAGGUUUCUUGUUAAAUCUCCAGGCUUAACCUGGAACAUGCGAGAAAAACCGGUGGGAUAGAGUAUGUGAGAGGUGCAUGGAACUCAUGGUGUAGGGGUGAAAUCCGUUGAUAUCAUGGGGAACACCAAAGGCGAAAGCAGUGCACUGGCACACUACUGACACUCAAGCACGAAAGCGUGGGGAGCGAACGGGAUUAGAUAAAUCCGCUUACCGCUCGUAAAAAAUAGUAACAAAGGUGUCCCUCCAAAUCGUGAGGUUUGGAUGAGCAUUCAGCUAUAUCGGGGAAACUCUCUAGCAUAUGGGCCAUACCGACCCGCUAGAGACAACCCCGAGGGAAGUCCAACCAGAUUAAUGGAAUUACAACAGAGGGAAGGAGGUCUUAAGUGAAUCGAUACAUAGGCUCUGCAAGCGAUUACCGAACAAACCAGGGACUUCGUAAGUUACUCGAACUCCUCGAGUGGAUGAUCUCCAACAUCGAGAACGAGUCACUUCGGAACGACUGGAGACGGAUGUUCGCAGACGGCUGGGAAAAGCCGGAUGUGAAUCCCAGAAUGCGCUGGGUCAAGCCAGGGCGGCCGCCCGGUAUCAAGGCCAAGCAGUAAUGGCAAAUCAUUAUUACCGCCCUUUGUUGUAAUUCUAUUGAAAAAGUUGUGACCCCGUAGAGACUACACGCAGAACAUCUCAAUCAAAUGAGAUGAUGAUAUAGUCCGAACUCACAGGUGACUGUGAGAGCUAGGCAGAAAUGUUCUAGCCUCGUAACAAAAAUAAUUGUGUUCCAGUUUGAAAAUUGUUACGCAGUAACAUACUCGACCCCGGUAGUCCACGCCCUAAACGAUCUUCUCUAGCUUUCUGGAGUAUCGACCCUCUGGGAGGCGAAGCUAACGCGUUAAGAGAAGCGCCUGUGAAGUACGGCCGCAAGGCUAAAACAUAAAGGAAUAGACGGGGACUCGCACAAGCAGUGGAUCAUGUGGUUUAAUUCGACUAUAAACGAAGAACCUCACCAGGGUUAGAAAUCCAACCCCAUGCCGAACCAGAAACGGAUCGGCUGCUCACAAGGUAAGGGUUGGACAGGUGAUGCAUGGCUGUCGUCAGUUCGUGGUUUGAAUUGUUCCCUUAAGUGGGGUAACGAACGCAACCCUCAUCGUGUGUUACAAGUGUCACGCGAGACCGUCCCGUUUUACGGGAAGGAAGCGAGGAUGACGCCAAGUCCGCAUGUCCCUCUGAUACCCUGGGCUACACACAUGAUACAAUGGCCGCUACAAACGGGCGCGAAGCCGAAAGGCGGAGCAAAUCCGAAAAAAGCGGCCCCAGUUCGGAUAGAGGUCUGCAACUCGACCUCUUGAAGCCGGAAUU